rfam:Linderina pennispora strain ATCC 12442 DL89scaffold_19, whole genome shotgun sequence.
GCCGCUGUGGCCAAGUGGCUAAGGCGUCGCUCUUGUAAAGCGAAGAUCCGGAGUUCAACUCUCCGUAGCGGCA